AUGAAAAACACACUCACAAACCUCGCUCGAGGUGCCUUGACUCAGUCUGCACGAAACACAGGAUCUGAUCCAAGUUCAAAGUCACGUCUGCCGACCUCUCUAAGAAGUUCUUUAUUUCUCCAGAAAACCACAAAAACCUUUCCCCUUUUCAAUGGGCAGGGAGAAGAAGAAAGAGAAAUUAGACUGAGAGUGCAGUCGGCCUGGAACACAUAGCCGCAGUUUUUGUUCUUCUUUUCUCAUGUAGCAAGGAAGGGAAAAAGUUCGAAAAAGCUAAAACCAAACACACAGGGGAAAACAAAUUUCGAUAUAUAUAGGCCUAUAUAUAUGAAAGACAAAAAAUUCCAAAUAACCUUUGAAUUACAAUACAUGAAGGACCAUACCCCUAUAGUUACAUGAAUUAUGGCUUUUUCAUUAAUGUGUGAGGUCUUUUAGACAAAGCAACAAGACAUUUCUUUUAACUUGACAUUAUCAAUAUGGUAACGCAUUGUUGGUUACUUUUAGUGACCUUGGGUACUUCAGGGGUGUUCGACCUUCGACCCGUGGAGACCACAUAAUGCUACCCUUUGAACUUAUUAAGAAAUCCUCACUGUUCAAAGGUUGUAAUAAAACAACUUGGCCUUCUCCCUCUGUUACAUCGUUUCAUAAAUAACAGGCGAGAAAAAUUCACAUUCAGUCACAAGCUUGUUUUUAACAUUUAAUAUUUAUGACAUUCUCAUUUUUAAAGACACUCUUGAAUACGGUCUGUUCGUCCAACACAAUUCAGAGGUAAACGUUGGGAUGUCGUAAAUCUCAAUUAGAAUGCAUAGAUUGUAAUGCUUCCGUCACAUUAACCGGCAUACAUCGUGGUUUCAUUCAUUCCAAAUUAGACCCUUGACAAAGCUGACAGGCAUGAUAGCUUAUCAGAAGUACACAACAACUUCUAGUACUUACAUUCUUCAUCUUCGAUGUUUGAUAAAUGUGGGUAUGCAGUUUUACCAGAAAUGUCUGACCACUGACUAUGAUAAAUUUCAAAUAUUUAGGAUUGUUUUAAUCUGUAUUAUUUUAGCAUUGUUAGAGAAACUUGUGACUUACUAAAUUUGUAAGCAGUAAUUGUGUAUUAUUUUUUUUUUUUAGGUUUUAAGGGUGGGGAUGUUUAACCUUCUGCUGUACUUUGGUAAUUAGUUUUUGAAAUAAUUAUUUGGAAUAUGGUAACAACUGCCCUGAAGCAUUUUAAAAGAUGUCUUUGAAUUAAGACAUAUUAAAUCAAUGGCAUACACUUCCUGCUGAGUUCAACAUGGACUCUUAAAGGGCGUGGACGUGCUUCAUGACACACGUAAAACACACACAAACAAACAUGAGAUAACAUUUCAAAUAAUGUGAAAAUUAAUGUUUCUUAUACAUUAUUCUUAAAAAAAUAUAUAUAUAUCUUGGAGAAAAAUUUGGAUUAUGUCACAGAGUCACGAAUCAUGUCACAGAACGCUUUUUGGAAAGACUAUUGACAGAAUUUUUUCUAAAAUAUGUCAAGAGUCGCUUCUUCUCUUCUGUACUUUCUGCACAGGAAUCUAUCAGUUUGUGACAGCGCCCAUUGGACCGAAAAUUUAAUGUUCAAAAUUGCGUUUUCACAGAUAACCUGUAAAAAAAAUAAAAUAAUUGCAUUUAAAUAUAAUUAGUAAAAUUAAAAAAAAAAAAAAAAAAAAAAAACAUGAUACUGUUGAUUAUGUGAGAUUAUAUUACUAUAAACCCAUCUGGAUAAAGCAGGUUACUAGAAAGAAUUCCAUGAACGUAGGCCCUUGCAACUUCUGUUUAUUAGUGAGAUUAUAUUACUAUAAACCCAUCUGGAUAAAGCAGGUUACUAGAAAGAAUUCCAUGAACGUAGGCCCUUGCAACUUCUGUUUAUUAGUGCGUAAAUCCUAAUCGUUUGAUUGGUUGAAUAAAAACCAUAUGUAAGAUUUUGUUUUAUGUAUCUAAUAAUUUAGUUUUGCCUAUAUGCAUGCAUUGCAACAAUUAGAAACAAAUAAGUUUGGUAUAGCAUGCGUUUGUUUGUACUUGUAAUUUUAUUUCCAUUGUCACAAUUUUAUCCUUAGUCUGUUUUAUCUGUCAGCAUAAUGAAACGAUUUAUUUGACCGAAGAUAAUUCAAUUUAUUUUUGCUGAAUUCAUGCUCGACAACGUUUUAUUUCUUUAUUUAAUUAUAUAAGUUGAAUUUAAUUUCUAAGCAUAUUUCAAACGAUGUGUGGGGGUGUUGCACAAUAUGCUCCGCGUGUGUAGUGCCACUGUUUUGUGCAAAGAGAAAAACAACAUCCUUCCACGUGUGUGUGUGUGUGCGUGCGUGCGUGCGUGUGUCUCGGUAAACAGAUUUGCCUGUAACUUUGUGAGCACAACUUUCUGGAGUGAACAGUGAUGAAGAGAGUGAGGGGGCGGAACCCCGCUGAGCCUCUGCGCUGAAAGACAGCCAAUCGCUUCGUUCUCUUAACUGCCAGUCACCGAAAUCUGUCCAAUACCCGCAGUGCCAUUUCUAAACUCUAUUCCCCACUGUGUCCUCCAACUGUUGUAUGUUCUGCCAAUCGCUUGAGGACAGAGUGGGAAAAGGAGCAAGCAGAGUUAGAGGCAGGACAAAAGAAGUUCUAUAGACGGCCAUAUACAUAUAUUUUAAUAGUUUCAGAAGGCCCGUAGUUUGCGAAAACAGUAGCGGUGAGCGUGGACAUGACAGCGUAGUGAUGGAGCCCCCUUUAAGCAAGAGGAAUUCGGCGAUAAGAUUAGCGGAUUUGGCAUCGACUCAACGAGAUUUCCAAAUCCAGAUCAUUCUGAUCCAGGUUUAACUCUUUGAACAACUGGGCUCUGAUGAUGCUCCUGUCUAAACUUCCAUGUUUACUGAUAUUAAAGAAUUCACCAAUAUUAAAGACAAGGCCAUGAUAGCAUUUCAUGGCAAAUGUUGUAAAAGACAACUGGAUGAAUUAUUGUUAAUAAAUGUCCAGGUCACAAUGACAAAAAAAAACAAAAAACGAAUAAGUAAGUUUAGUAAAAUUAAAAAAAANAAAAAAAAAAAAAAACAAAAAUAAGAAUAACUGUUGAUUAUGUGAGAUUAUAUUACUAUAACCCAUCUGGAUAAGCAGGUUA
rnacentral:lncRNA from 1 species